AUUGAACGCUAGCGGCAUGCUUUACACAUGCAAGUCGAACGAGUGGCGGACGGGUGUGUAAUAUAUCGGAACGUGCCCAGUAGCUGGGGAUAACUACUCGAAAGAGUGGCUAAUACCGCAUACUCUUGGCGCGGCCCAUAUGGGAUUAGCUAGUUGGUGGGGGAAAGGCUCACCAAGGCAACGAUCCGUAGCUGGUUUGAGAGGACGACCAGCCCAACUGGGACUGAGACACGGCCCAGACUCCUACGGGAGGCAGCAGUGGGGAAUUUUGGACAAUGGGGGAAAGCCUGAUCCAGCCAUCCCGCGUGUAUGAGAAGGCCUUCGGGUUGUAAAGUACUUUUGGCAGAGAAGCGGUAUCUGAAGAAUAAGCACCGGCUAACUACGUGCCAGCAGACGCGGUAAUAG
rnacentral:rRNA from 1 species